UACGGAUGCCUCGAUGAGUUUUGAUGUCA
rnacentral:piRNA from 1 species